rnacentral:rRNA from 1 species
ACGAACGCUGGCGGCGUGCUUAACACAUGCAAGUCGAACGGAAAGGCCCUGCUUUUGUGGGGUGCUCGCGUGGCGAACGGGUGAGUAACACGUGAGUAACCUGCCCUUGACUUUGGGAUAACUUCAGGAAACUGGGGCUAAUACCGGAUAGGAGCUCCUGCUGCAUGGUGGGGGUUGGAAAGUUUCGGCGGUUGGGGAUGGACUCGCGGCUUAUCAGCUUGUUGGUGGGGUAGUGGCUUACCAAGGCUUUGACGGGUAGCCGGCCUGAGAGGGUGACCGGCCACAUUGGGACUGAGAUACGGCCCAGACUCCUACGGGAGGCAGCAGUGGGGAAUAUUGCACAAUGGGCGGAAGCCUGAUGCAGCAACGCCGCGUGCGGGAUGACGGCCUUCGGGUUGUAAACCGCUUUCGCCUGUGACGAAGCGUGAGUGACGGUAAUGAGUAAAGAAGCACCGGCUAACUACGUG